GACGAACGCUGGCGGCGUGCCUAACACAUGCAAGUCAACUUGACUGAAGGAGCAAUCUGACAGUAGAGUGGCGCAAGGGUGCGUAACGCGUAAGUAACUUGCCCCAAGGUAAGGAAUAACGUCGAGAAAUCGGCGCUAAUACCUCAUAAUGCAGCGGAUCCGCAUGGAUAUGUUGUUAAAGGUUUACCGCCUUGGGAUAGGCUUGCGUCUGAUUAGCUAGUUGGUGUGGUAACGGCACACCAAGGCUACGAUCAGUAACUGGUCUGAGAGGAUGAUCAGUCACACUGGAACUGAAACACGGUCCAGACUCCUACGGGAGGCAGCAGUGAGGAAUAUUGGGCAAUGCUCGAAAGAGUGACCCAGCAACGCCGCGUGGAGGAUGAAGGUAUUCUAUAUCGUAAACUCCUGUGAGAGCAGACGAAAGACAAGAUUAAUUAAUCUGGAUGACUGUAUGCUCAGAGGAAGCCCCGGCUAACUACGU
rnacentral:rRNA from 1 species